UGUCUGGGAAACUGCCUGAUGGAGGGGGAUAACUACUGGAAACGGUAGCUAAUACCGCAUAACGUCGCAAGACCAAAGAGGGGGACCCUCGGGCCUCUUGCCAUCGGAUGUGCCCAGAUGGGAUUAGCUUGUUGGUGGGGUAACGGCUCACCAAGGCGACGAUCCCUAGCUGGUCUGAGAGGAUGACCAGCCACACUGGAACUGAGACACGGUCCAGACUCCUACGGGAGGCAGCAGUGGGGAAUAUUGCACAAUGGGCGCAAGCCUGAUGCAGCCAUGCCGCGUGUAUGAAGAAGGCCUUCGGGUUGUAAAGUACUUUCAGCGGGGAGGAAGGGAGUAAAGUUAAUACCUUUGCUCAUUGACGUUACCCGCAGAAGAAGCACCGGCUAACUCCGUGCCAGCAGCCGCGGUAAUACGGAGGGUGCAAGCGUUAAUCGGAAUUACUGGGCGUAAAGCGCACGCAGGCGGUUUGUUAAGUCAGAUGUGAAAUCCCCGGGCUCAACCUGGGAACUGCAUCUGAUACUGGCAAGCUUGAGUCUCGUAGAGGGGGGUAGAAUUCCAGGUGUAGCGGUGAAAUGCGUAGAGAUCUGG
rnacentral:rRNA from 1 species